UACGUAGGGUGCGAGCGUUAAUCGGAAUUAUUGGGCGUAAAGAGCUCGUAGGCGGUUUGUCGCGUCUGCUGUGAAAACUCGGGGCUUAACUCCGGGCCUGCAGUGGGUACGGGCAGACUAGAGUGCGGUAGGGGAGACUGGAAUUCCUGGUGUAGCGGUGAAAUGCGCAGAUAUCAGGAGGAACACCAGUAGCGAAGGCGGCUCGCUGGGCCAUUCCUGACGCUGAGACGCGAAAGCUAGGGGAGCGAACAGG
rnacentral:rRNA from 1 species